AAGGUGAUCCCGAACUGUUGAGCAACUGAAAUCCUAUAUCAAGCAAGAAUGGGAAAACUUUUCACUUUCAAAACUACAGCAUCUGGUCUCUUCAGUUCCCAAACGCUUAGAGAAUCUUGUUAAAAGAGGAGAUGCAACAGUUAGAAACUUGCCCCAAGCCCAACUUUUUUAAAUGUGUUGCUGACAUCAAAUUAAAAAUGGGCAUACAUUUUUCCAAAAGCAAUACCAUUUCUCUGGCUCAACAUCUGAUAUGUUGACAUUGUACUAAUUUCAAUUAAAUAUAGCAGCGUCCCAACUAUUUUCGAAACAGUAUAAUUGGAAAAAACAUUUUAGUACACAAGAAAUGUACUCCAAAACUUUUUCAGAUAAUUAAUAUUUUUGAAAUACAUAAGGACUAAACCUUCAAUCAGUAGAACUGGAGAAGGUUAUGAAAAAAACCUAAAGCAUUGAAGUUUCAUUGGAUCCACCAAGACUUCCUACAGCUGUCCGUCUGGCCAAACUAAGUAAAUGGGCAAGAAGGAGACCAAGAACCUAAUGGCCGCACUAACUGAGUGGCAGAUUUUAUCUUUAGAGAUGGGAGAACUUGCCAGAAGUACAACAAUACCUGCAACAUUCCAUCAAUCAGGCCUUUAUGGUAAAGUGGUUGGAAACAGAUGUGUAUAAAGUACAAAUUAAAAGUAGUCAACUGGGUUUGGCUGUGUUCACCACUUAAGGGAUGUGUCUAAUUAAGAUCUUAGUAACCAGGCAAAAGGAGUUCAAAACUAACCAGUGAUCAUAUAAAGGAAGAGCCUACAUUAUUAAUCAGGGUCAAUGGUUAGUUACUCCAUUUACCUGGUCAAUUACCUGGUCCUUAAGAACUUCCCAAAACUGGUGAACACAGCCGAAUACUUUUACUUCGUACUUUUUACACCUCUGGUUGGAAAGAAUCCACUCAUGAGUAAAAGGCAUAUGACAUUUAGUUUGACAAACGGCAGUUAAAGGACAACAGCUGGCUAGUUCUAAGUGGCAGGGACUGGGAGACUGGUUGGGUUUGAGGGAAUGAUGAAUGAAGGAAAAUACAGAGCGCACAGGACUAGGGUGAAGAUUCAUUUUUCUGCACCACAACAAUUCACAACACUAGAAUCGUUUUGGCAGAAUACUGUAAAAGGGUCUAAAUAAAAGGGUCAUAAAGGGUCUGAAUACUUAUGUACAUGAGUUAUUUCAGUUUUCUGAGUUUUCUGAUUAAAAGUUUUUAUUGACAUUAACAGAGUAUUAAUUCCUUAAUAUACAAAAAAUAUAUUAAACCAUAGAACAAAUACACAAUUGGAGACAAAAAACAAGUAUUUUUGUUUAACAAAAUGUAAUCUACAUUUUAGCCUCAUCAAAGAAGCCCCUUUCUGCAGACAAAACAGCCAAACACACUCAUGGCAUUCUUUCUACAAUGGAAAUCAAAUAUUGUUUGGCAUGUUCUUCCCAACCCCUUUGCAGAAAUGUGUUGCACUUGUAGGUUGCUGUGCUUUCACCCUUUUGCCUAGUUCAUCCCAACCCAGGUCAAUGGGAUUUGAGUCUUGAGACUGGGCUAGCAAUUCCAUGAUAAGCUUCCCAAAUUAGUACUGAUAAAGCCUGGAGUUUUUACUUCCACUGCUGCAGAACAACUGUAAGUUUUCAUCCCAUUACUUGUUACCUUAAAAAGGCCUUUUUGGUAACAAUUUUUUUUUUAUCACCUCUGGCGGUUUACCACUUACCUUUGUACUUUUUCAGGUUAUUCACUGGACUGGAACGCUUGCAUUUCUAUAGAAAAUGGAAAAAGGGGGGUGUCGGAAACCUUUUGACUGAGCUUGGAUGCUGCAGACUACCACAGGUACUGGGUCUAAAAGGAGUUCAUAUAUCUGGGGUGGUGGAAACUACGGAUGCAUCUACCUGUGAAAGACCUCUGCUCAUAUCAUCCAGUCAUGAAGGAUAACUGAGUUUUGGGCUGGUAACUGAGAUGUCGCUUUUUCAAAUUUCCCAGAUGAAAGUUCUUAGUUUACCCUUGAGCAAAGCCUAACCUUUACUGCCCCUGUUGGUCUCUCUGUCUCAGAGUACCUGCUAACUGACCAAAAUGUAAAAAUGUGUGGAGGGAGAGGUGAUUGGAAGAUGUAUGACAGCUAGCUGCUUGAGAAUAAUAUUGGUUAAAGCCCUGAAAUACCCAAUUUACAAUUCAAGGGCUAGACAUUUAUAACUCUUCAUUUGUGAUUGUUGAUUUCUUUCUUUGGCACUGUUAAUCUAAUUAGAUUAGGUGUGUAAGCAGUUGAGUAUUUCAAUUACAUGGAAUAACUGGGGGUUCUAGAGGAGUUUUGACAACCACUGCAAACAUCCACCCACCAUGUAAUCUCUAGUCCAGAAUCCAAACCAGUAAAUCUACAAUAUCUUGCCUCUGGUAGUAGCUACAUGGAGAUCUGUUAAGACUGAACAUUUUAAUUCUUGCUGAUUUUCUUUAAGUCCUAGACACAUGAGGGUGCAGAGGGAAACACUCUAGAUACCUUGAGGGAACAGAGGGUCAGACUAAUUUCAGGGCAUGUCCUCCUAAAUCAGUUUACUACUCCCAGUACCUCUAUAGUUCCAGCCAAUCACACGCAAUCUGAAAAACAACCCAUCAGUUUGGCACAAAGCUUCACUGGUUUCCAUAAUAGCUAAUAUUAGCCUGUUUUAUCCUCUCUAUGAAACAAUAACUAUUUUCCAGUCUGGAUGGAUGCUGUCCUGUGAUUGAAUACAGCUUUGACAUCUACAGACUCAGUCAUUAUCAUGGGCUUUAUGGUCUAUAUGUCUGUUUGACAUGCAUUUAAUGUGUUUCCAUAUUUAAUACAAUUACUUGAAUUAU
ensembl:lncRNA